rnacentral:rRNA from 1 species
CCUACGGGUGGCUGCAGUCGAGAAUCUUCGGCAAUGGACGAAAGUCUGACCGAGCGACGCCGCGUGCGGGAUGAAGGUCUUCGGAUUGUAAACCGCUGUCGAGGGGAAUCAAAUGUUAGGGGGUUCUCCCCCUAAUUUGAGAGAACCCUGGAGGAAGGGGAGGCUAAGCUCGUGCCAGCAGCCGCGGUAAGACGAGCUCCCCAAACGUUAUUCGGUAUCACUGGGCUUAAAGAGUUCGUAGGCGGCGAAGUAGGUGAGGUGUGAAAGCCCUCGGC